CCUUGACAGUUACAUAAUGUGACUGACAUUUGCCAAGACAAGGAGAUUUAAAUG
rnacentral:ncRNA from 12 species